GGGGAUGUGGCUCAAGUGGUAGAGCACUUGCCUUGUAAGCACAAAGGCCUGAGUUUGAACCUUAGCACCA
rnacentral:tRNA from 1 species